rnacentral:misc_RNA from 1 species
UACGUAGGUGGCAAGCGUUUUCCGGAAUUAUUGGGCGUAAAGAGCUCGUAGGCGGCCCGUUAAGUCUGAUGUGAAAUCUCACGGCUCAACCGUGAAAUUGCAUCCGAUACUGACGGGCUUGAGGCAGGUAGAGGAAGGUGGAAUUCCUGGUGUAGCGGUGAAAUGCGCAGAUAUCAGGAGGAACACCGGUGGCGAAGGCGGCCUUCUGGGCCUGUACUGACGCUGAGGAGCGAAAGCGUGGGGAGCGAACAGG